ensembl:lncRNA
ACCCUGCUGCUUCACCAGAUGGUGUUUACAGAGAUACCUAAAGAAAUGGGUGAAGUUGUCUUAGCUACCCAGCCGCAGUCACUCUCAUGGAAAUCCCAGUGUUAGAGCUGGGGGAGAGGAGCAGGAGGAAGAUUGUGCUUAAAGUGCAUUUGACCCGGACAAGAGGAGUGAACCCAUCGUAAUGAUGUUCUCUUUGUGACCAAAAAAACAAUGCUGAACCUGCAACGUUCCUGUUCAAGACAGCUUUUUGUCAACGAGCUCUUGUGACGCAACAGCCCUUUCUGUGUCUGAGAGACCUUGUAUUUGCAAUCUUUGGGCAGAGCUGCCGCUCAUCGGGAAAAUCUUCUGAGGCAGGGAAGUAAUUGAG